UUGUAAAAGUAAUGGAAAAAACUUUUUUUAAACUUCCAACUUUGAAAAGAAUGCCAAAAUAUUUUGCAAAAAGUCAUGAAAUUCUAUCUUUAGUCAUAUGAAGGGGGAAGAUGGUGAGAAAACGUACUUUUGAAUAAAAAUCCGGAUAUUUUCUAAAUUGGAGUCAUACGACAUUCUAAUGGCAGCAGUUGACACGGUACAGUGGUGUAGUGGUUAGCACUCUCGCCUCCCAGACAGAUGCCUCGGGUUCAACUCCACCCAGUGGCGCCUUUGGUGUAGGCUAAGUCUGCAUAGGGUUCACGCCAUACUUUUAAAACUAAUGGAAAAAACUUUUUUUAAACUUCCAAGUCUGAAAAGAAUGCCAACAUUUUUUGCAAAAAGUCAUGAAAUUCUAUCUUUAGUCAUAUGAAGGGGGACGACGGUGAGAAAAUGUACUUUUGAAAAAAAUCUGAAUUUUUUCUAAAUUGGAGUCAUAAGACAUUCUAAUUAAAGCAGUUGACACGGUACAGUGGUGUAGUGGUUAGCACUCUCGCCUACCAGACAGAUCCCUCGGGUUCAACUCCACCCACUGGCGCCUCUGUGUUAGGUGGUGUAGGCUAAGCCUGCAUGGGGUUCACUCCAUGCUUGUAAAGGUAAUGGAAAAAACUUUUUUAAACUUCCAAGUCUGAAAAGAAUGCGAAAAUAUUUUGCAAAAAAUCAUGAAAUUCUAUCUUUAGUCAUAUGAAGGGGGACGACGGUGAGAAAACGUACUUUUGAAUAAAAAUCUGAAUUUUUUCUAAAUCGGAGUCAUAAGACAUUCUAAUAGCUGCAGUUGACACGGUACAGUGGUGUAGUGGUUAGCACUCUCGCCGCC
ensembl:lncRNA